rnacentral:misc_RNA from 1 species
AACGCACAUUGCGCCCGUUAGUAUUCUAGCGGGCAUGCCUGUUCGAGCGUCAUUUACACCCUCAGGAUUUUAUUUCCUGGUGUUGGGGAGCCUGUAGGCAUAGCCUUCAAGUCCCUAAAAGCUAGUGGCGGGUUCUGUCGUACCCCGAGCGUAGUAAUUUUUCUCGUUCAGGGCGUACGGUUGAGUCUAGCCUCGCACUAUUAUAUUCUAAAGUUGACCUCGGAUCAGGUAGGAAUACCCGCUGAACUUAA